CUAGGCUAUAUGCUGAUUAGAUAAUUGACUACCGUCGGCUGUAUAACAAUCGGUUUUUCACAAGUUUUCUUCGAGGCCUUUCAUUUGUUGACUCCAGUAACUGCUACUGUUGAGGCAAACGACCAAUUUAAAUGUUUUAAAAUUCCUACAGUACAUGACUCAGAAUAUUCACAUUAAUUCUUGAUACUUUAUAACAUCGCAAAAUCACUGUCCAAAAUUGAUUGCUAAGACCGCUCGUAAUCAAUGUAAUGAUAUUUUUCGUUUAAGUAAGUAAACAAAGGCAAUUUUCAGUUGAAGACUUCGAUUUCUGUCGUUAAGAAUUUGUACUGACCAGCAAGAAGGUUCUUUGCUUGUUCACUGUUACCGACAUAACCAGGGGGAAGUUGAUAUGUGUAUCCAAAAUUGCUGUAUGAAUGUUUGACUUGAGGUUGGUUACAAAUAUGCAGAUCAGCUCCUCCAGCAAAGAUUGGUCCGCACCCAAGGUGACAGUAAGUUGCAUACUGCUCCUGACCUUGCUUGAUGUUGGCAAUAAAUGGAGCAAGGUUGUCUUUGUUGCGUAGGGAGAAUAAAAAUGACGCGUUGGAAUGUUUAUAAACGCCUCCUUAAGAUU